AGCUUUUAACAUGAAGCUCAGGUGUCUCCUGUUUCCACUGAUCAUCCUUGUGAUGCGUCUACAGCUUAAUUUAAGUCCACUUGUGGUAAAUUCAGUUGAUAGGACAAGAUUUUAAAAGGAACACACUUGUCUACAUAUAAGGUGCCAUAGACAGUC